AAUGGUUCAUAAGCAUUUUAUUAUCAAAGAUCCUUGAUGACCAUAAUCUGUACAGUCACAAUUAAGAUAAAACAAUUCAUGGAUAGAGGAAUGUAUCAACAGUUUAUACAGAACAAAAUGCCAAAAAUACACAUUUUCCAGGUUUGAAUGUGAGAUAGAUUUGCACAUUGCAAGAGUAAGCAGCUUGGAAAAAAAACCAAACAAACAAACAAAAAAAAAAACCUCUACAUACAUUUAUAUAUAUUUCCAAUCCAUGAGAAAAUCAGUGGAUUAGGCCGGUGCAAGAUACAGUUAAAUGAGGAGGCGUCCUAUUUCAGACAUGACAGGUAUUUAACAGAAACAAACCAUACAUAGGUUAAAUGUAUACAGCUCUAUAUAAAUGCGCAAGCUUUAAGACCCAAAACUCCUGUACUGGUAGAGAUCAGUAAGAGCAAACCACAAUAGAGUCCCACAAUGCCUUGCGUAAAUGUCCUUGGUGUCACACCAUUAUGCACCAAUUAAAACAUAGAUCUCUUCACUUAGAAAAGUAAAAGUGCUGAUGUCGGAGUUUUGUUCUAUUUUGUAUUUUACUCUUCUUGCAAACACAUUUACAUUUAUAUAAUCGGAGUAACUGGUUGGUCAUAGUUUAAAUUUCAAAAGUAAAAAAAUGCUCUGGAUAGGCUUUGGACUUGCUUACCGUGGAUACAUUUCAUAAUUACUCAAAAAUAGAAUCUAAAACAAAAUGUAUUUAAAAUGUAAUUCUCUGCGUGGUCUUUCUUAAAGGAGCAAUUUCAUUUUUUUUAAAUAAAAUUUUAUGAUUAGAUAGCGCAAGGAAUAUCACACUAAUUUCACAUAUUAAAUGCAGAAUGAAAUUGAAAUGAUAUUUUAAGUAGAUCACAUUUUGUGUUAAUAUUGGUAUCAUGCCGAAUAUAAUUCUAUUCUCCAAUCCUGCUUUCUAAGCAUUUCAGAUUUUAUUUGGUGAGUGUUUAAAACUAUGAAGUAAAUAAAAGGUUUUUUUUCCUUUGAUUUUCCCAUUCGAUACUAGAGCCAUCAAUUCUGUAGGUGGAACAGGCACCUUUAGAUGAAAAUUGUACCAACAAAACCUGAUGGCUGAGGAAACAGCAGAAAAAAGUGAACCUCAGAAGAGAUAUGUUUUGUUAUUUAUAUAUUGCAAGAUUAAUAUUAUUCUAAUUUCAGCUUUAGAAAAACUUUGCCAACAUUUUGGAAUAUGCUACAAACAUAUGAUGGCAUUUUUAGAAUGCUUUAGUUUAUGUCUUUUGCAAUCUUAUGAAAAUACAUUCAAACAGAUUCUACAAGCAGACAAUCUAUUUAAAAAGUGCACUUCUUUGCGGCUCAGCUUUGUGAGUUUCCUUACUUCAAACAUUGGUGAAAAUAAAAACAUUGCUCGAAAGGUUCUUACGCACAGGGCUUAAUGGCAUUAUUAAAACAUUCUGGGAAACCAUGUUGUUUUGAAUAUCCUAUCUAGGAAUACAAAGUUCAAAUUUUACAGCAAGUAAAAGGAUUCCCUUUUUGACCAUGAUUGGUCCUUCAAAAUAAUUACUAUAUUAAUAUAUAUAUAUAUAAAAUAUAGUGCAUGCGUAUACACACACACUCAAAAUAUUGUAAACUCAAACUGCAAAAAAAGGGAAUUAAAUUGAAAAUUGGCAACAUUCUCAGAUUCUGAUAUCUUACUGAUUGAGCAUGAAUGUUAGACUUUACCCAUAACUAGAGCAUUGUUCUUAUAAUAAAACCAUAUAAAAUGUUUGCUAGAAACUGGCAAUUUAAAAAUGGAUGCAACAAAUACUAUGUGAAAACUCAAAGACAGGUGUCGUCAAAUAUCAGCAAUCUUUUCAUUUCUUACAAAAAUAGGUAUUUCGGGUUAUAAUUAUUUUAUAUACAGGACAUCACAGUCAGCUAGUUCUUUAAAAAAAAAAAAAAGGAAAUAAAAAUAAAUCAACGUUCGGGUUAUUACAAAAAUACUGUAAUGUUGGAAUCUAAGUGUAAAAUGAUAGCAUUUAGCUCAUCAAGUGAGUUAUACUGCAAAAUGUAUCUUAUACCGACAUAUUACCUAUUUUAGUAGAUUACAGUACAUUAAACAUUGAUGCACAUGUUAAAAUAUAGAUUGACCUUUUGUGUGUCAGGAAUGAAUCUUACAAGUAUCAGUAUGCGUUAAGCUAAAUAAAUAUAAUUAAAUACAUGGUAACAUGGGACAAAUUUGCAUUCUGACAGCAGUUUUAAUGCACAUCGACUUUUUUCGUGAAUAAAGAGAAACACAUACGGUUUUAUUUUAUAAAACUAAGAAUUAUGUUGAAUUGAUGAGGGAAUUAGAAAGGUUAUCCCUAAAUAACCAAUUUGGAACAUUAGCGGUGUUUGAGAUUUACUUUUCUGUUCGUUCGAGUACAGGACUACACCUCCCAUGAUGCUUUGCCAGCAUUAUGGCUGCAAGAGCAUUGUGAGAGAUGUUGUCCACCGCAUCUGGAGUGCCAAACGUUGCCUAACCCUGUUCUAGUAUGUACAAAAAGUUGCAAUUCCGGUGUCAAUCCUACACAGUUGCCAAUUUAGUAAAGAUCACAUUUUUUCAGUGGUGUUCUUGGGGAUGUGGCUGUCCUUUAAGACGAAUUGCUAUAAUUAUAUUGCGGUGAGGCUCUGCAGUACUUCCCUAUACACAGAAUUAUUGAUAGAACAAGGUAGUAAUGAGACAAUUGGACUGGAGUCUGAAACAUUGAUCAUCCCUCUUAAGGAGGUAGCGCAAGGCAAAAAUUCCACUGUGGAGAACAUACACUAAAAUGCAUUAGUUAUUCCCACACCAUAAAAAAGAUCAGUGAGGGUCACCCAAUUAUUUCACUCACUUGGAAGACAAUCCUGCAUAUCUGAUAAGGCAUUAUACAUGCAUACAGUACACUUAACCAGUCAACUACAAGGCUUAUUCUCUAAACACCAAAUUGUAGUAAAUGGAAAACUCAAUUUGGUUAAAAUAGAUUAUGUUGGAGAAAUUAUAUAUAUAUAUAUAUAUAUAUAUGUGUGUGUGUGUGUGUGUGUGUCUCCCCAACUAUGCUUAAGUUAAAGUUGAAAUAUUUUUGCCUAAAUGUUGCAAUUUAUUUCAAUCCACAACACAGUGUUUAGCAAAUAAUCUCCUGAAGUCCAAGUUUCUUGUAUUUGGCAUGUGAGUGUGUUUAUACAAGUUACAUCUCACAGGACAGAUUGAUAACAAAAAGUAAAACUAAUAUAACAGAUAAAUGCCCCUUCAACCUAGUUUGUGAUAUUUUUACAUAAUUAUUAAAAGACAUGUAAGUAGUAUGAUCCCUUGAUGCUUCCUUUUAUUUGAUUUGCAAUUGUUUAGAACACAGAUAAAAAAAAAAAGAUAUAUGGGGACUUAAGGAUCAUAUACAUUGUCUUAGUGCUUUUCUUUGUAUUGAUUAUUAAAAGUAAUCAAUAUACAUUAUUACUCAUAAGUGCCUACGAAAAAAAUCCUGCAAAUUUGUUGAACUGCUACUACAUCUGAUUAUAAGACAUGAGUUUUAUUCAGUAGUGUUUUAAACAUUUUUGACUGUAAUAAAAAUAAAACAAAAAAUAAAACAAACAAAAAAAACCACAAGACCUAUGAAAGAUUGUUUUGUGCAGGAAAUGAUAUAUAUAGCCACAUUUACGAUAAGGCUCCAAUUUUGCCAAGUGGCGAUGGCUAAAAGCAUAACAAAAAACACAAUAUGCCACAUGCUUCUAGGAGUCUGCUUUUUACUUGUAUUUACACAUCCAUUAAAGCUGAUGUAAGAAACCAUACAUUGAUACGUUAUUUAUACAUUGGUACACGCUUAAUAUCAAUUAAACAGAACCACACUGUACAGAGAAUUUCAAAUGAAAAAAAUAAAACACUGCAAAACUGCUCCAACAUGCCACUUACUAGUUAAAGGUUAAAGUGGAUUUUAAGAAAUACAAUGUACUUACGGUACCUAUGCAUGUAAGAGCAGCAUCCAUGCAGCAAACAAUCUUUGU
rnacentral:lncRNA from 1 species